UACGGAGGGAGCUAGCGUUGUUCGGAAUUACUGGGCGUAAAGCGCGCAUAGGCGGCUUUGUAAGUUAGAGGUGAAAGCCCGGGGCUCAACCCCGGAACUGCCUUUAAGACUGCAUCGCUUGAAUCCAGGAGAGGUGAGUGGAAUUCCGAGUGUAGAGGUGAAAUUCGUAGAUAUUCGGAAGAACACCAGUGGCGAAGGCGGCUCACUGGACUGGUAUUGACGCUGAUGUGCGAAAGCGUGGGGAGCAAACAGG
rnacentral:rRNA from 1 species